rnacentral:rRNA from 1 species
GACGGAGGGUGCAAGCGUUGUUCGGAUUGACUGGGCGUAAAGGGCGUGUAGGCGGUUUGUCAAGUCGGGUGUGAAAGCCUGGGGCUCAGCCCCAGAAGUGCAUCCGAAACUAGCGAGCUAGAGCGCGAUAGAGGAGGGUGGAAUUCCUGGUGUAGCGGUGAAAUGCGUAGAUAUCAGGAGGAACACCGGCGGCGAAGGCGGCCCUCUGGGCCGAUACUGACACUGAGAAGCGAAAGCGUGGGGAGCGAACAG